rnacentral:misc_RNA from 1 species
UCCGGUUUGGCACCGGCAGUCUCCCAUGAGUCCCCGGCAUCAUCCGCUGGCAACAUGGGACAGGGGUUGCGCUCGUUGCGCCACUUAAGGCAACACCUCACGGCACGAGCUGACGACGGCCAUGCAACACCUGUGCGGGCUCCCGAAGGAGGACCUGCUUUCGCAGGCUUCACCCCGCAUGUCAAGCCCUGGUAAGGUUCUUCGCGUCGCGUCGAAUUGAGCCACAUGCUCCGCCGCUUGUGCGGGCCCCCGUCAAUUCCUUUGAGUUUUAGCCUUGCGGCCGUACUCCCCAGGCGGGGUGCUUAAUGCGUUAGCUUCGGCACGGAACGGGUCGAUCCCCGCCCCACACCUAGCACCCAACGUUUACAGCUAGGACUAC